rnacentral:rRNA from 1 species
UACGGAGGGUGCAAACGUUGCUCGGAAUUAUUGGGCGUAAAGCGCACGUAGGCGGACCAUCAAGUCGGAUGUGAAAUCCCUCGGCUUAACCGAGGACGUGCAUUCGAUACUGAUGGCCUUGAGUACGAAAGAGGAUCGCGGAAUUCCCGGUGUAGAGGUGAAAUUCGUAGAUAUCGGGAGGAACACCAGUGGCGAAGGCGGCGACCUGGGCCAAUACUGACGCUGAGGUGCGAAAGCGUGGGGAGCAAACAGG